GCUGAAACUUAAGCAUAUCAAUAAGCGGAGGAAAAGAAACCAACAGGGAUUGCCUCAGUAACGGCGAGUGAAGCGGCAACAGCUCAAAUUUGAAAUCUGGCUCCCCUUGGGGGUCCGAGUUGUAAUUUGGAGAGGAUGUUUCUGGCGCGGCGCCUACCGGAGUUCCUUGGAACAGGACGCCACAGAGGGUGAGAGCCCCGUACGGUUGGCCGCCUAGCCUGCACGAAACUCCUUCGACGAGUCGAGUAGUUUGGGAAUGCUGCUCAAAAUGGGAGGUAAAUUUCUUCUAAAGCUAAAUACCGGCCAGAGACCGAUAGCGCACAAGUAGAGUGAUCGAAAGAUGAAAAGCACCUUGAAAAGAGGGUUAAACAGUACGUGAAAUUGUUGAAAGGGAAGCGCCUGCGACCAGACUCGCGCCCCGCGGACCAGCCGGCGUUCUCGCCGGUGCACUCCGCGGGGGGCGGGCCAGCAUCGGUUUUCCCUGGGGGAGAAAGGCUGCGGGAAUGUAGCUCCCUCGGGAGUGUUAUAGCCCGUGGCGCCAUGCCCCAGGGGGGACCGAGGACCGCGCUUCGGCAAGGAUGCUGGCGUAAUGGUCGUCGGCGACCCGUCUUGAAACACGGACCAAGGAGUCAAGCAUUGGGGCGAGUGUCUGGGUGCCAAACCCGCACGCGAAAUGAAAGUAAACGUAGGUGAGAGCUUCGGCGCAUCACCGACCGAUCCUGAUGUCUUCGGAUGGAUUUGAGUAAGAGCCCCACCGCUUGGACCCGAAAGAUGGUGAACUAUGCCUGUAUAGGGUGAAGCCAGAGGAAACUCUGGUGGAGGCUCGCAGCGGUUCUGACGUGCAAAUCGAUCGUCAAAUAUGGGCAUGGGGCGAAAGACUAAUCGAACCAUCUAGUAGCUGGUUACCGCCGAAGUUUCC
rnacentral:rRNA from 1 species